GCGCCAGUAGCUCAGCUGGAUAGAGCAGCGGACUUCUAAUCCGCAGGCCGGAAGUUCGAGUCUUCCUUGGCGCACCA
rnacentral:tRNA from 1 species